CCGUUCCCUUCAGGACCACCAGGUUUCAGACAAAAUAAAAAAGAAGGAAAGUGCUCACAUACAAAUUAAGAAAAUGAAAGUCAAGUUUCCACAGACGACAGUGAACACUCCUCCAGAUCGCUCAGAAGUAAAGCACACAGCAAGUCCAAAGCUGCUCCGUGGACCUCAUUUCUUCCUCCACCACCCCCAAUGCCAGGGUCAGGAUUAGGACCAGGAAAGCCAGGUCUAAAAUUCAACGGCCCG
rnacentral:sRNA from 1 species